rnacentral:rRNA from 1 species
UACGAAGGGGGCUAGCGUUGCUCGGAAUCACUGGGCGUAAAGCGCACGUAGGCGGAUUGCUAAGUCAGGGGUGAAAUCCUGGAGCUCAACUCCAGAACUGCCUUUGAUACUGGCGACCUUGAGUCCGGGAGAGGUGAGUGGAACUGCGAGUGUAGAGGUGAAAUUCGUAGAUAUUCGGAAGAACACCAGUGGCGAAGGCGACUCACUGGACACGUAUUGACGCUGAGGUGCGAAAGCGUGGGGAGCAAACAGG